rnacentral:rRNA from 1 species
UGGGGAAUAUUGCACAAUGGGCGCAAGCCUGAUGCAGCCAUGCCGCGUGUAUGAAGAAGGCCUUCGGGUUGUAAAGUACUUUCAGCGGGGAGGAAGGUGUUGUGGUUAAUAACCACAGCAAUUGACGUUACCCGCAGAAGAAGCACCGGCUAACUCCGUGCCAGCAGCCGCGGUAAUACGGAGGGUGCAAGCGUUAAUCGGACUUACUGGGCGUAAAGCGCACGCAGGCGGUCUGUCAAGUCGGAUGUGAAAUCCCCGGGCCCAACCUGGGAACUGCAUCCGAAACUGGCAGGCUUGAGUCUUGUAGAGGGGGGUAGAAUUCCAGGUGUAGCGGUGAAAUGCGUAGAGAUCUGGAGGAAUACCGGUGGCGAAGGCGGCCCCCUGGACAAAGACUGACGCUCAGGUGCGAAAGCGUGGGGAGCAAACA